GAUGCAACGCGAAGAACCUUACCUACUCUUGACAUCCAGAGAACUUUCCAGAGAUGGAUUGGUGCCUUCGGGAACUCUGAGACAGGUGCUGCAUGGCUGUCGUCAGCUCGUGUUGUGAAAUGUUGGGUUAAGUCCCGCAACGAGCGCAACCCUUAUCCUUGUUUGCCAGCGAGUAAUGUCGGGAACUCCAGGGAGACUGCCGGUGAUAAACCGGAGGAAGGUGGGGACGACGUCAAGUCAUCAUGGCCCUUACGAGUAGGGCUACACACGUGCUACAAUGGCGCAUACAGAGGGCAGCCAACUUGCGAAAGUGAGCGAAUCCCAAAAAGUGCGUCGUAGUCCGGAUUGGAGUCUGCAACUCGACUCCAUGAAGUCGGAAUCGCUAGUAAUCGUGGAUCAGAAUGCCACGGUGAAUACGUUCCCGGGCCUUGUACACACCGCCCGUCACACCAUGGGAGUGGGCUGCAAAAGAAGUAGGUAGUUUAACCUUCGGGGGGACGCUUACCACUUUGUGGUUCAUGACUGGGGUGAAGUCGUAACAAGGUAGCGCUAGGGGAACCUGGCGCUGGAUCACCUCCUUAAACGAUGAU
rnacentral:rRNA from 1 species